GCACUUGAUUCGGCAGCACAAAUGCUAAAAUGGGAAGGAUAUUGAGAAGAUUGGCAGGGUCCUUGUGCAAGGAUGACAAUUUGUGAAGCAAUCAAUAUGUUU